rnacentral:rRNA from 1 species
UACGUAGGGGGCAAGCGUUGUCCGGAAUUAUUGGGCGUAAAGCGCGCGCAGGCGGUUAUUUAAGUCUGGUGUUUAAUCCUGGGGCUCAACCCCGGGUCGCACCGGAAACUGGGUAACUUGAGUACAGAAGAGGAGAGUGGAAUUCCACGUGUAGCGGUGAAAUGCGUAGAUAUGUGGAGGAACACCAGUGGCGAAGGCGACUCUCUGGGCUGCAACUGACGCUGAGGCGCGAAAGCGUGGGGAGCAAACAGG